UAAUUCCGGUUGAUCCUGCCGGACCCGACUGCUAUUUGGGUGAGGAUAAGCCAUGCGAGUUGUAUGGGAUACCUAAAUUUCCCAUGGCAAACUGCUCAGUAACACAUGAUCAACUUGCCCUAUAGAGAAAAAUAACCUCGGGAAACUGAGGAUAAUGUUUCAUAGUUGAAAAGGCUUGGAAAAGUUUUUCAAUAAAAGGGAUAAGGAAAAUGGUCCUUAUCUGCUAUAGGAUAGGAUCGUGUUCGAUUAUGGUUGUUGGUGAGGUAAUGGCUCACCAAGCCGAUAAUCGAUAGGGGCCGUGAGAGCGGAAGCCCCGAGAUGGGUACUGAGACAGCGACCCAGGCCUUACGAGGCGCAGCAGGCGCGAAACCUCCACAAUACACGAAAGUGUGAUGGGGUUACCCAAAGUGUUCUAUUAAGAACUGUGGUAGGUGAGUAAUGUUCCCUACUAGAAAGGAGAGGGCAAGGCUGGUGCCAGCCGCCGCGGUAAAACCAGCUCUUCAAGUGGUCGGGAUAAUUAUUGGGCUUAAAGUGUCCGUAGCCGGUUUAGUAAGUUCCUGGUAAAAUCGGGUAGCUUAACUAUCUGCAUGCUAGGAAUACUGCUAUACUAGAGGGCGGGAGAGGU
rnacentral:rRNA from 1 species